CCAACGCGCCAUCGCCAUUGGAACUUUAUGGCAGUUGGAAAGGAAUUUUUAAUCUCCUUCGCAUCGUCCGCCAUGAAGUUAAUAAAGGAUUUGAUCAUUUCUAUAUUUAAGUCCAAGUCCAGCCGGAAUGAGAGCGAAAAUAUCGAAUCAGUUCCCCCCUUGUUGGAUGCGACAGAGCAGAGCAACGAAUCCUUUAGAAACUCAAGAUAUAAAUUCCUCUUGGAAUUUUCUGUAAGCACAAUCAUUUCCUCAUUUUCUUUCAUGACCAACAUAGUGGGUAAUUUUUUAAUUAGAUUUUAAUGUAUAAAAAUAAUAAAGUAAUCAUUUCCUGCCUGCGAACAGUAACCCAACAUUGUAAUUGGAGCUUCUUGCAAUACCUGAUGUUCAAUGCAAUGACACUGUCGACGAUGUUUGUCUUCAGCAUUCCCGCCUUCUGCGGUGGCAUUUACGUGUUCAUCUCCUACGGGAUGGUUGUCUACAUGCUUGGCAUCAGAGGACCCACCGUCGUCACACCAAAAGCCUUCUACCAGGCUGGAUUCUCUGAUUUGUCCGCUUUUUGGCUUCUGGUCAUCGACUAUGUCAUUUGCACCAUGGUCAUCGGAAUUGUUUAUCGCGGCCUCCUAAGAGCUAAAUCUUCUCAGCAAAAUACAGUUUCAUCCUGAUUGCUAUUUUAUUUUAAAUGCCUGAAAUUCAAGCUGUAAGAGAGACUAUAAUUAAUUAAGCAAUCUGAUUAGGCAGGCAUGUGUGUUUUGAGUUUCGUCGUUCUCAUCGCCAUAGCCUAGUAUAUAUAAGGUGCUGACGAAUUUA